rnacentral:rRNA from 1 species
CGGAGGGUGCAAGCGUUAUCCGGAUUCACUGGGUUUAAAGGGUGCGUAGGCGGGCAGGUAAGUCAGUGGUGAAAUCUUCGAGCUUAACUCGGAAACUGCCGUUGAUACUAUCUGUCUUGAAUACCCGGGAGGUGAGCGGAAUAUGUCAUGUAGCGGUGAAAUGCUUAGAUAUGACAUAGAACACCAAUUGCGAAGGCAGCUCACUACAGGGUCAUUGACGCUGAGGCACGAAAGCGUGGGGAUCAAACAGGAUCAGAUACCCUGGUAGUCCACGCCCUAAACUAUGGAUACUCGACGUGCGCGAUAUGACAGUGCGCGUCUGAGCGAAAGCAUUAAGUAUCCCACCUGGGAAGUACGACCGCAAGGUUG